rnacentral:lncRNA from 1 species
UGGUUGCUCUGGCAAGAAGGAGGGGUCGUCAACUCCGUAGUCGAACUGGGCAGCAGCAGCGUCGGUCUCGUAGUCUACCGGAGAGAAGAGGGGGAAGAAAUAGUAAAUACAAUUCAAAGAUAAGCAUGAAGAUGCAUGACAUGACAAUGAGCGGUGUUAGGUGUGCCCUAACGCGGUAGUAGGUGAUAUCGGCGAAAGGGCGAAACAUCCGGGAAAGUAUUCUCGGUGUUUCGCGUUUUUGGAUAGAUGAACUGGAGGGGAAAAGUUGCGUGUUUACUAUGCUAGGGAUGUGUGGCAGACGAAUAGGCUGCGUAUUCGAAUUCGUCUUGGUUUUCUAAGCAACUUUCAUGUACAAAGUAUUUUUAUCCGAGAUACGGUUUAUUUUAUAUGAUUUUCUAAAGUUUUAACAAUAUUCUAGAAUUUCUAGAUUUAUUAUUAUUUCGAAAAUAAAAUAGUAAAAUUACUCUUGCCAACUAGUGUAGUGCCAGCCACAUUCAAUGACAUGUGGGGGUCGGUCAAAGUCAACAGCAUAGUCGGUGUUGACCGGGUCAGACAGUGAAUAGUGCAUGGGUCCCGCGUGUCAUAGACUUAAGCAUUUUUAACUUGUCUGAUCAUUUUAAUUUACAGUAGGGUCCACCUGUCAUAGGGUCUAGACUAACUAAUCAGUUAAACCAAAAUAAACUAAACAGGAGGGUAUUAUGGGCUAAUAGGGGAUUAGCCCCUUAAUUGGGUUGGUCGGGGGCCGCUGGUAGAGGCACAAAGGCCAGCCCCAGCGUGGCUGUGCGCAGGCGCGCACGAAGGCCGGGCGCCGUGAGCGGCCAGACCCGGAGAUGCGCCGGUGGCCAGGACCAGCAGGCCACGCGGCCGGCCGGGCGAGCGGGUGCCGCGGCCGACAGGAGCUGCUCCAAGCCACGGCAAGCAGGGGGGCGGCAAGAAGCCGCCGCGGCUGCUAGCGUAGCGAGCAGGAGCGAUUAGCAGAAGCAAAGGAAAGCAGUACGCGCCAAGAGCAGCAACAGCGGGAGGGACAACGCGUGCGUGCGCACGGCUGAAACUCGAGCGCGUCCAUGGGCGAGCGAGACGGCGAUGCUACGGCAGUUUCAGUCGCAACGGCGACGACAGCUACGGAGCGGCAGUGAGGGUGCUCGAGCUCGAAUCCGAGCUCGGGAAUAAAAGGGGAAGUGGCGGAGCUCACAUCAGAGCUCAAGGAGGACUCGGGGAUGCCGGAGCUGCUCGAAGAUGGGCGAAUCGAAGACGAACAGAAGCGGUUGUCGACGGAGGGGAUCGACGGAUGCGGCGCCGUCUUGUCGAUCCGGCUCUAGGCAGUCCACUGCGGGGUUGAGGACGAUGGUCUGCGUCUUCUGGAUACGAAGGCUUGACCGGGGAAUGGUCGAGGCCAUGGCAACGGCAAUGGCAACGACACGGCGACGGCAACAGGCGGACGAGCUUGGGAGGGAGAGAGAGCGUGGGGGUGG